AAGUCGUAACAAGGUUUCCGUAGGUGAACCUGCGGAAGGAUCAUUAACACUCUUUUUUCAAUGAAAGAGCUCAUUUUUUGAUAUCUUUGUUUUUUCUUUUGAGAAACUUGGAUUCAAAUAAUGGGUAUUCACCCCCUUAUAUUGACGAACGAAGAAAAACAAUGAUUUUGUUUCAAAAGCAAAACUCAUAUUUUUCUAUCUUUUUUCUCUAUACCUUAUAUUUUUCAAAACCCCUUUUUUUACAAUAUGUCUUAGACUGAACUGAAAAAUUAAGAUAAAUUAAAAAACAACUCUUAACAACGGAUAUCUUGGUUCUC
rnacentral:misc_RNA from 1 species